AGUGGGGUAGCUGGGACAUUUGGUGUUUCCAUUUCCUAGUUUUUAGAGGAGUCUCUAUACUGCUUUCCAAAAUGGUUGUACUAAUUUGCAGUCCCACCAACCAU
rnacentral:pre_miRNA from 1 species